UACAGAGGUCUCAAGCGUUGUCCGGAAUCAUUGGGCGUAAAGGGCGCGUAGGUGGCGGGACAAGCGUGCGGUGAAAGCCUGGGGCUCAACCCCGGGUCGGCCAUGCGAACUGUCGAGCUGGAGCACUGUAGAGGCAGGCGGAAUUCCGGGUGUAGCGGUGGAAUGCGUAGAGAUCCGGAAGAACACCGGUGGCGAAGGCGGCCUGCUGGGCAGUAGCUGACGCUGAGGCGCGACAGCGUGGGGAGCAAACAGG
rnacentral:rRNA from 1 species